rnacentral:snRNA from 1 species
UGUUUCUUUUUCUUUUUCUGAUC